CCGGCUUUAGCUCAGUUGGUAGUAGCAACAGACUGUAGCGCGCGUCAAUCUGUGGGUCCUCGGUUCGACUCCGAGAAGCCGGA